UGGCGGACGGGUGAGAAACACGUGGGUAACCUGCCUCAAAGAGGGGGAUAGCCUUCCGAAAGGAAGAUUAAUACCGCAUAAGCUUACAGCAUCGCAUGAUGCCGUAAGAAAAGGAGUAAUCCGCUUUGAGAUGGACCCGCGGCGCAUUAGCUAGUUGGUGAGGUAACGGUUCACCAAGGCCACGAUGCGUAGCCGACCUGAGAGGGUGAUCGGCCACAUUGGAACUGAGACACGGUCCAGACUCCUACGGGAGGCAGCAGUGGGGAAUAUUGCACAAUGGGCGAAAGCCUGAUGCAGCAACGCCGCGUGAGUGAUGAAGGCUUUCGAGUCGUAAAGCUCUUUGAUCAGGGAUGAUGAUGACAGUACCUGAAAAACAAGCCACGGCUAACUACGUGCCAGCAGCCGCGGUAAUA
rnacentral:rRNA from 1 species